rnacentral:rRNA from 1 species
AGCGAACGCUGGCGGCAGGCCUAACACAUGCAAGUCGAACGAACCUUUCGGGGUUAGUGGCGGACGGGUGAGUAACACGUGGGAACGUGCCUUUAGGUUCGGAAUAACUCAGGGAAACUUGUGCUAAUACCGAAUGUGCCCUUCGGGGGAAAGAUUAAUCGCCUUUAGAGCGGCCCGCGUCUGUUUAGCUAGUUGGGUGAGGUAAUGGCUCACCAAGGCGACGAUCAGUAGCGGGUCUGAGAGGAUGAUCAGCCACAUUGGGACUGAGACACGGCCCAAACUCCUACGGGAGGCAGCAGUGGGGAAUCUUGCGCAAUGGGCGAAAGCCUGACGCAGCCAUGCCGCGUGAAUGAUGAAGGUCUUAGGAUUGUAAAAUUCUUUCACCGGGGACGAUAAUGACGGUACCCGGAGAAGAAGCCCCGGCUAACUUCGUG